rnacentral:ribozyme from 1 species
ACAAUAAAUACAUUUGAAAAAAAAAAACAAUAUAAAAUACACAAAAUGAUUGCUGUUGGUGUGUGUUUCCCUGUCCAUUUGUAUUUCCUCCCUUUUCCUUCUCC